ACAUGGGUUGGAUUCAUGGCAGGUCUGUCACCCUGGGCCUCUUAUAAUGUCCCAUACAAGAGCAAACUCUAGUCCCGAACCAUUGCUUGGCCUCUGCCUCUGGACUACUGGCACUGAAGGGGGUUUCACAGAG